rnacentral:rRNA from 1 species
CCUACGGGUGGCAGCAGUGGGGCAUAUUGGGCAAUGGGCGCAAGCCUGACCCAGCAACGCCGCGUGAAGGAAGAAGGCUUUCGGGUUGUAAACUUCUUUUAGGAGGGAAGAGCAGAAGACGGUACCUCUUGAAUAAGCCACGGCUAACUACGUGCAAGCAGCCGCGGUAAUACGUAGGUGGCAAGCGUUGUCCGGAUUUACUGGGUGUAAAGGGAGUGCAGCCGGGAAGACAAGGCAGAUGUGAAAUCCCGCGGCUCAACCGCGGAACUGCAUUUGAAACUGUUUUUCUUGAGUACCGGAGGGGUCAUCGGAAUUAAUUGUGUAGCGGUGAAAUGCUUAGAUAUAAGGAAGAACACCGGUUGCGAAGGCAGAUGACUGGACGGCAACUGACGGUGAGGCGCGAAAGCGUGGGGAGCAAACAGGAUUAGAUACCCGAGUAGUC